rnacentral:misc_RNA from 1 species
GAUGAAGAACGUAGCGAAAUGCGAUAAGUAAUGUGAAUUGCAGAAUUCAGUGAAUCAUCGAAUCUUUGAACGCACAUUGCGCCCGCCAGUAUUCUGGCGGGCAUGCCUGUUCGAGCGUCAUUACAACCCUCAGGCCCCCGGGCCUGGCGUUGGGGAUCGGCAGAAGCCCCCUGUGGGCACACGCCGUCCCUCAAAUACAGUGGCGGUCCCGCCGCAGCUUCCAUUGCGUAGUAGCUAACACCUCGCAACUGGAGAGCGGCGCGGCCAUGCCGUAAAACACCCAACUUCUGAAUGUUGACCUCGAAUCAGGUAGGAAUACCCGCUGAACUUAAGCAUAUCAAUAAGUGGAGGA